rnacentral:rRNA from 1 species
GACGAACGCUGGCGGCGUGCUUAACACAUGCAAGUCGAACGGAAAGGCCCUGCUUUUGUGGGGUGCUCGAGUGGCGAACGGGUGAGUAACACGUGAGUAACCUGCCCUUGACUUUGGGAUAACUUCAGGAAACUGGGGCUAAUACCGGAUAGGAGCUCCUGCUGCAUGGUGGGGGUUGGAACGUUUCGGCGGUUGGGGAUGGACUCGCGGCUUAUCAGCUUGUUGGUGGGGUAGUGGCUUACCAAGGCUUUGACGGGUAGCCGGCCUGAGAGGGUGACCGGCCACAUUGGGACUGAGGUACGGCCCAGACGCCUACGGGAGGCAGCAGUGGGGAAUAUUGCACAAUGGGCGGAAGCCGGAUGCAGCAACGCCGCGUGCGGGAUGACGGCCUUCGGGUUGUAAACCGCUUUCGCCUGUGACGAAGCGUGAGUGACGGUAAUGGGUAAAGAAGCACCGGCUAACUACGU